CGGAGGGCUGCCGUAGCGUCGGCCCGGCCGAGUCGGGGGUGGGGGCUCGGAGGCUGAGGAUUCCGCGGCCGUGGGCUGGCGUCCGUGGGCUGGCGUCCGUGUGGCCUGCUCCCGGCCAUGUCUGCGUGAAGACGCCGCUGCUGCCGCCGCCGUCCUACUCGGUCCUGGCCAGCCCGGCCCGCUGUGACCAUGGGCUCCAUCCUGAGCCGACGCAUUGCGGGCGUGGAGGACAUCGACAUUCAGGCGAACUCGGCCUAUCGCUACCCCCCGAAGUGCGGAAACUACUUUGCUACACACUUUUUCAUGGGAGGUGAGAAGUUUGACACCCCCCACCCUGAAGGUUACCUCUUUGGAGAAAACAUGGAUCUGAACUUCCUGGGCAAUCGCCCGGUCCAGUUUCCUUAUGUCACCCCUGCUCCCCAUGAGCCAGUGAAGACGCUGAGGAGCCUAGUGAACAUCCGAAAAGACUCGCUCCGGCUCGUAAGGUAUAAAGAUGGUGCCAACAGCCCCACCGAGGACAGCGAGAAGCCCCAUGUCCUCUACAGCCUGGAGUUCACCUUCGAUGCCGAUGCCCGGGUGGCCAUCACCAUCUACUGCCAGGCGGUGGAGGAGUUUCUCAACGGGAUGGCUGUGUACAUCCCCAAAAGCCCUGCCCUGCAAUCUGAGACUGUCCACUAUAAGAGGGGUGUGAGCCAGCAGUUCUCUCUGCCCUCCUUCAAGAUCGACUUCUCAGAGUGGAAGGACGAUGAGUUGAACUUCGACCUGGACCGGGGAGUGUUUCCAGUGGUCAUCCAGGCCGUUGUGGACGAAGGAGACGUUGUGGAGGUGACUGGCCACGCCCAUGUGCUGUUGGCUGCCUUUGAAAAGCAUGUGGACGGCAGUUUCUCCGUGAAGCCGUUGAAGCAGAAGCAAAUUGUAGACCGGGUCAGCUACCUGCUGCAGGAGAUCUAUGGCAUUGAGAACAAGAACAACCAGGAGACGAAGCCUUCAGACGAGGAGAACAGUGACAACAGCAAUGAGUGCGUGGUGUGCCUGUCAGACCUGCGGGACACGCUGAUCCUGCCCUGCCGCCACCUGUGCCUGUGCAACUCCUGUGCCGACACGCUGCGCUACCAGGCCAGCAACUGCCCCAUCUGCCGGCUGCCUUUCCGGGCCCUUUUGCAGAUCCGGGCGGUGAGGAAGAAGCCAGGAGCCCUGUCCCCCGUCUCCUUCAGCCCCGUUCUGGCCCAGAGCGUGGACCACGAUGAGCACUCUUGUCCCUUUAAAAAAUCAAAGUCGCACCCUGCCUCACUGGCCAGCAAGAAACCUAAAAGGGAAACUAGCUCGGACAGCAUCCCGCCGGGCUAUGAGCCCAUCUCUCUGCUUGAGGCGCUCAACGGCCUCCGGGCCAUCUCCCCGGCCCUCCCCUCGGCUCCCCUGUAUGAAGAGAUCACCUACUCGGGCGUCUCGGAUGGUCUGUCCCAGGCCAGCUGCCCACUUGCUGGGCUUGAUCGCAUCAUGGAAAGCAGCCACCAGAAGGGCAAGUCACGGAGCAAAUCCCCCGACAGCACCCUGCGGUCCCCCUCAUCCCCCAUCCACGAAGAGGAUGAGGAGAAGCUCUCCCAGGACUCGGACGCCCCUCCCCUGCCGAGUGGGGCUGGGCUGGUGCUGAGCAGCUCCCCAGAGAGUUUCCUCACGGAGGAGGUUGAUGAGAGGUCGUCGCUAAAGCAAGGGAGCCGUGUACCUUCCAUUGACAACGUCCUCCAGGAUGGCAGCCCUGAGCCCUGUGGCUGCUGCCAGCCCGGCCCACCUACCGACAUCUACCUUCCAGCCCAGGCCCCCGACUCCUGUUCUGUUGGCAUCGAGGAGUAAGCUGGGCUACAGCUGCUGCUGGCACCACAGACGUGCAUGCGCAGAGGUGGGUGCAGACUGGCCCUGCCCUCCAGGUUUUAAAGUUGGAAGGUCCAUCUCCAUGAAGACACCGGAGCCUCCUUGCCACUGGCCCCACCUAGCCUCUGGUGGCCCCAGUCCUGAUGUGGAGGCCACCGCCUGACUCAACUCUGAAAGCCUGGCCAGGCUGGCAGCAUGGAGCCCUCAGCUCCCCAGACUUUGCCAAGGGGCUGUCUGGACUCCAUUGAGACCCCUGGCCUCUCCUAUCUGCACACCCUUCAUAGCCACGGCUCCAAGGGGCCCUGCGACCCUUGAUUGAAGAGCACAGUGGACUGUCCCCCUGACAAACCUUUUUUGCUGCGGUUUCUGUAUUUGUAAAUGGUACACAAUGAAGGACAGCCCCUUUCUGUCUCGGGCACUGAGCUCUGAGUUCCCCCAAAUCUCUUGUUGGCUGAAUGGCUGGAGCUGGAGGCUGGCUACCCACAUGUCCCAGAUUGGCUUUAUCCAGCCCCCCAGCCAGUGGGAGGCUGAAACCCUGAGAACUCAGCAAACCGGCAGGAGAGAAUUUAUCGGUGGGUGAAGUACUGUCUUCCCAGGGGGUAGUACUGGGGGGGCUUGUUGUUGGGGAAGGGAAGGAAGGGGGAUCCGAGUCACGGUCAAUGAAGGAAACGAUGCCUGUGCCCGUCCCCCGAGGUCAUGGCCUGGCUGGCACUGCUGCUUUGUGUCCUCUGCUGCUUCCCCUCCCGCGCAGGCCCUCCGUGCAGGGCUGUAUAGCUUGCAGCCUUCCCUGUGGCCUGCGCAGCCUGCGUUUCUGCACUCGGGCCUGACUCUUCCCAGGGGCAGAGGUGCAGUGCACAGCCUAUUGGCAGCAGUUGGUCUAGUGCCGUGGUCGGCAAACUGCGGUUCGCGAGCCACAUGCGGCUCUUUGGCCCCUUGAGUGUGGCUCUUCCUAAGCCUUAGGAGUACCCUAAUUACGUUAAUAACAAUGUACCUACCUAUAUAGCUUAAGUUUAAAAAAUUUGGCUCUCAAAAGAAAUUUCAAUCGUUGUACUGUUGAUAUUUGGCUCUGUUGACUAAUGAGUUUGCCAACCACUGGUCCAGUGGCCCCUCUCCAGGCCCUGCACCUUCUCAGAGGUGGCUUUGCACACGUCCUCAGACCCCCUCCAGGUGGAGGGGCCUCCGCUCAGCUUGUCGGCCCGCUCAGGGAGGGAUCUGAGCAACAUUUCUGCUCCCUCCUCCCUCCGUGUCCUUUAAAUGUCACUCGGUGUUUCUCAUUGAUUUGUUCUGUCUGGGGCUCCUGUGGUGGGACCUGCCUCCUGGAGAAGGGUCCCAUUUGAAGUGGCCUCAUCAUUUUCUUAAGAUAAACCACCUGGGCAAUAGAAAAGCAGAGGAGGCACAGGCUGCCCAAGCAGGGACCUUGGCCUGGUGGGUGGGUGGGUCUGUGCAGCUCCCCAAAGGGCCAACACUUUGGGCCUUGGAUUAGGGGGUUCAGAGGAGCUCGCUUUCUGAGGAUGAUGGUUCUGGGAGCAUCCACACAGCUGGGGGCUUUGUCCAGUAGGGUCCUUGUUCUCUCUCCAAUGGGCUGUGAGCAGAGUGCUGCCUUAUGCACAGCUCUCGGCCACCCUCGGGCCACCUUCCUCAGCCGCUUGGCUCCCUGUCUCUCCCCCCCCCCCCCAACUCCCACCCACUGGUGUGCUCAUGGGUGCACAUGUGCACACAUACAGGCUGUCUCUCUCCUCUCCCUCAUCACCCACCAACACCCUGGCCUCUUGCCGUUGGCAUUGGUGCCAGUACUCCGAAUGACAGGAUGCAGUACCCCUGUCUUGGACUUAAACAUGCUAUCAUUUGAUGUAUUCUGAUUGGCUAGUUUUUGUUCCUUUUUACUGUAUAUUUAUAGUAAUAAAAUCAUCCAGCAAUA